CGGAUUGAAGGCUGAAAUUCGCCUUCCAUGAAGCCGGAAUUGCUAGUAAUGGCAGGUCAGCAUACUGCCGUGAAUACGUUCCCGGGCCUUGUACACACCGCCCGUCACACCAUGAGAGUUGAAAAUACCCGAAGCCUGUGAGCUAACUUAAAGAGGCAGCAGUCGAAGGUAGAGCCAAUGAUUGGGGUGAAGUCGUAACAAGGUAAC
rnacentral:rRNA from 1 species